rnacentral:lncRNA from 9 species
AUAAAAAGUACUUAUGAACUAGAUUCUUCUCUACAUAGAAGUUUUACCAAAAGAUUAAAUGUCAGGGAGGGAAGUUACCUGAACUAAAUGAAGACUAAUUUAUUUUUGCUAUGACCUCUGUUAAUAACAUAACACUUUUCUGAAAGGCAGUAUCAAAAUUAAAUGCCCACAGAAGGUAGUUAAAAGGUAAUAGUCAAGUAAACUUUGUAGACUUAUAUACCAGCAUAUUUGAAAAGACUGUUUCAAUGUCAAAGUCAAGAGUCAAGGCUAGGAGAAGCAGCAGGUGUCCUGAAAGGCCACAGGUGUCUACUGCUUUUCCUGGAAACUCAGAGUAGGAAUGCCAAAGCCUCAGAGAUGGCAAAAGUUCAUUAUUUGAACAUCGUUUUUCAAGGGGAGGAAACAGACUCAUGCUAACAGAGUAUCCUCUAUAAUAAAGUUUCGAAUGACAAAGUCACAGUUUAGCAGGACAACCAGAGGCCAGCGGAAUGGAAAACACCUUGCCUUGAAAAUAUGCAUGUCUUACCUGAGUUUGAUUAAAAUACAUUUGCACACACCU